GGUGCUGGGAGCCCAGAGGAUGGGAACAUGAUGCUAGGAGCCUAGAGGAUGGGAAUGCAGAGCUGGGGAGCUCCGUGUAGAAACAGCCUGGGCUUCCCUUGUUACCAGCACUCAUAAAGCCCAUUCAUAAACCCGAACAGCUCUGAGCAAAGGCACUUGUGUGAUUUCACAUCACUGUACAUCUGCGUCCCUGCUGUGUAUCUCUGUAUGACCUUAACAUAUCCUCUGAAUACUUCAGGCAACAUAAAAUUGGCUGUAGUGUAGUAACUAAACUGAAAUUCUGUGAUUUAUGAAGCGGCUGAAUUAAUCUUACUUCUGCCACUUGACUAAGAGCCAGUAAAUCAUUGGUAGGAGUUCAGAAUGUACUAUUACAGAUAGCAGACAUGCUCCAUUUGAACGAAUACGGGUAAUAUCAAGAAGGGAGGCAUGAUAUCAGUAUACUGGUGUCUAACUAGGAGUACUAAGAGGGAAGACUUAGACUAAAAUUACUAGGAGAAACAAAAUUUGACAAAAUAUCUUACAAACUUUUUUGGACUGAUUGUUACUAAUGCUGGUGCUAAACUGUAACUUUAGGCCUAUGAGUAAUGUGAAGGAAAUUGCUCCUUCCAAAUUUUAAGUGGAAAAGAUGCCACUGCUGAGGUGAAAAUGGAAAAGUUCUCCAUAGAGCAUACUUUCAGGUGCAUGUUAGAAUGAUUGAUGGUAUUUUGUCUGUGGCAGAAAUUGUCACACAAGCAGAGAAGCCUCUGUAUAACUCCUACAUGAGACAUAACAGAGGACAAACGCAAAUGCUACUGAAGUAGCAGUGAAAAUACAAUAUGUGGACAUAGAAUUGUAGCAGACAUGUGAAUGAAAAAGUAGAGUUAAGGGUGCUGCAAAAUAGUUUUACCCAUAAACUUAUUGGAAUAAACUUGAAUACAUUUCAAAAGGAAAGCUUAGGGUGUAAUGGCUGUUGCAUUUUUCAUGCAUCACUGGUAAUAAAGUGAAGCACAAAACUGAAAAUUCCAAGUGCUAGUAAACAGGUCUUAGCCAUCUCUGUUGCAAACAUGUACUUUUACUAUACAGCAUAUGUUUCUGAAGUUAUAUGAAAUAUUUAUUUAAAAUCAACAAAGGUCCAUCCAUGACAUUCAAAUAACAAAACCUAACCAUAAGAAACCCUACAUUCUGAAUUGAUUUUUUGAUGAGCGGAGUGUGGGAGCACAGUGCUGGUUAUGGAAGCAAUCAAAAUAAAAAUGGGCAGGAGAUGCUGAAGCACAUGUUAAUCAGUAAUGUGCUCUGACAAUUCGUAGGAAAAACUACUGCGUGGAAAAUUUAAACCAGUAGCAUUGUAGCAAGCAAAUUAUGUGCUAUCUAAUGUCUGAUAGCUGCAGAAGCCUUCACUGCUGUUGAAUUUUAUACCUAUGAUGUCAGAACCAUCAUAGCACCUUUUACAGUGUCAUAUCCAGAGCAUCUUAUACUAGCUGAAGUAAGAUGCUAACCUUCAACUCCCAGAAUUCAAAUUAACAUUUUACUCUGUAAAUAAAUUAUUUGUAGUGAGCUAGACUUCUACCCUCAUUUUAUACUCUGAACUGUUGAGUUUUAUUGUUCUGAACUUCAACAAAGUUAUCAUAUUUCACUACAAGAUGGUCCCAUUCAGUAGUGAAUAAUGUUGGCUCCUUUGAGUAUUUCUGAGAGGGAAGACCAUGUAUUGUCCUUGCCUGUGCCACCUGCCUUGUGUCCUCUGAGGGGAGAGAAAUUUCAAGAACUCAAGGAUGACUGGGACUACAAGAGACCACUUUUCAUUCAAAUGGCAGAUAUAAGAGUAUUCUUCAUGUAUAGUUUCUGAUAAGGAAAGUCCCACUAAGCCUCACUUUGCAGAAGCUAAUCAUGCAAAAGGACUCACAGUGCAUUCCAUGUUGUUAUUCCUCUGGGUAGCUCACUACUACCCUCAUUUGUGUCUUAUCUUAAUUUACUCAGACGGGUCAGAAACUGUUUAUUUUUCAUGGUUGUUUAGUACCACAGUCUGUGAUUUGUCUCUUUGGAAGCCUCUGCAGGUAAAAAAGGUAAAUUUGAUCCUUGAAUAGGUAAAUUUGAUCCUUGAAAAUGAGUAAAUGCUAAGGACUUGGUUCUUCCACACACACUGGUGCAUUAAACGUUAGGUUAAUCCUUAUAUAGCCGUGAUCAUAAUACAAGUCCUUCCCCCUUCUCGCCCCUUUUCCUUUCCCUUUCCUUCUUCCAGCAAAACCAAAGAAAAAUCUUUCUAUCCUGCUAAUUUAAAAACAAAACUAAAUUAACAACAACAAAAAAAAAACAAACCUAAAAAAAUCUCCCAACCAAUCAAACCAAGAAAAAACCUUAACCCCUCCCCCCUGCACAAAAAAUAAGGAAGGAUAAGAUACGUAUCUGAAGACAUUGGGGCUCCCUAUUAAAACAGAGCUCACACUGGUGGAAGAAACUGCUUAUAACCAAUGAUCUUGGAUAGAGUAUGGAAGCAGGCUCCAGAACCUACCAUAUCUAACCUUGUUCUGCUUUAAUACCUUGCUUGAGGAAACCAGCAUCUAUUCAAUGACUCUAACUCGUUAGAGUUAAGGUAGUAUGGUUAGGUUGUAAUUGGGCUUGAUGAUCUUUAAGGUCUUUUCCAACCUGGGCGAGUAUGAUGCUAUGAUUCUACUUCAUUUUCAAGCAGUAUGAAUCAUACAGCAACGGUACAAGCUCUGGUUAGAAUAUAUUGUUCAUAUGCUUGUUCUUUAAGCAGUGAGAAGAGAAUACAGAACUGGAGGUCAUUUGAGUUACAGCUACUUUGGGGGAUUUUUUUUAAACAUUCCUUUUAACAAAUGCGGUUUAAAUGGGUUUGUUUAUAUGGCGUGGAAUUGGAAAGGCCCAAACUAACCAGGCUUUACACAAUGUGGCCUUCUUCCAAAUUAAUCUAAAAUAUUUUAAUCCCUCUGGAGUUUCUUUAUCCUCCGCAUCUGUGCUGUAGUGGAGACACAUUUUUAACAUUUCUUUGAGGAAAAUUACCUUUCUUUCCCUCCAACUGUAUUCAGCAAGGUCAAUGGAGCACUGUUGUAUGCUAUUUAAACAUCUGAGAUUCAUCAUAUCUGUGCACACCAGAAAGAAUCAUUAUGAAAGGUCUAAUGAAUCCCGACUGCUAGCCAAGCAAGGGAGUCCCCUUAAGGAUCCUGAGCAUUAGAAACAAAGAAUACAUACAAAAUACAAUUUUUACAUUUUAUACUAUUUAGAAUUAAGCUGCCCCCAAAGAAGGGGGCAAGGAAUAUUUCUGACCCCUGAAACACUUUCAGUAAAUCAAACUGUUUGAGCUAAAUUCUGAAGUCAGUAUAUAGGCCAGGAUCAUUGCUGGGUGUUGAGGGGUCUGCUUGCCAGCAGGGGACCAGCAGGGCCUGAGCAGGAGUCAGAAGCUUCUCACUUGUGGAGGAGGAGAUGUUUGGACUCACCAGCAACUCCAAACCUGACCAUCUCAUUCUCUGGCUGUGUGCCUGUACUUGGUUUUAAGGCCUUUUGUUUUCUAGUUCACUAGCGAGUUUACAGGACUGAAUGCAUUUCACUACCCAGGAGUGGAAAUUCUGAAGAAGUAUGAGUGGAUGUGUGGUGAUUUUCUGUUCUUUUUUUUUUUUUUUUUUUUUUUUUUUAGUUACAAUUUAUCAAUUUAUAACAAGUAUUUUCCAGGCACUUCAAAAGCCAAUGGUCUUCUUUCAGCUGCUAGGAGUCCCAGUCAUUCUGAAAGGCCCAUAGUAAACAGAUACAACUCUGACCUUGUGAAGGUUUUCUUUGAAAUGCUCUUAUAGGGGGUGUUUUUAGCUGAAAUAUUAUGUAACUUAUACUGUGCAGAUUAUAUUAGGGCAGGUUUAAUACCACAGUUUAUUGUAGAAUCAUUCUUCCCAUGAAUACUGCUAGGUCAUGAAGUUCAGACGGUUCCAACAAAGUUCAAAUAAGCAUUUGAACCUCUGAAGGAAAAACGAUAUGUGGAAGGCCUCAGUUCUGCGAAUUCACAGGGUUUUACUACAGACUUAUUCGCAGCACUGAGGCCCUGCGGGGUCUGCAGAGAAACUGCAUCUUCUCUGCCGUCCUGUUAGAGGGUCAUGUUGGCUUUGUCCUUAACCUGAGUGUGCUCUGCUUUUCCCAGCUGUAACACACAGGUAAUAGGGCAGGGUUUGGGUUGCAGGGAGACACACCUGGAUAACGAUGGUACAAACAAAAUCAUACAUUCAGAUCAAUCACCUCAGGCUGUCCCUGUUUUUGAAUGAAGAACCAUACCAUACCUACCUACCCAUCUUUUCAUAUAGUUAGAGGUAUUUUGGGACCACUGCAAGCCAUAUAGUAAUGGAAUAAAUUCCAAGUGCAGCAGGAGACCACAUUGGAGGAAAAACUCUCCAUGUGCCAAGGGCAUUUCUUUUACUUUUCUUACUGGGACUGGAAAAUAUUCCCUAAAUAAUACAUCUGGAUGUAGAGGAAUGGAGAGGGAAAAGAUGAAAAACAAUCCUUUAAAUUCAGUAGGAGCCUACUUUAAUGGCUUGUUUAAUCUGCCAGCUGGCACACUGUUGACUUCUUGCUACACAUACUUUAAGAAGACCUAUGUAGUUCUUGGAACCAAGUUCAUAUUAAGUUGUAGAAACUUAAAUAUUAAUCAAUUGGAGACUGCUUUUUGGUACUUAAUAGAAAUCAUGAAACUACUUAGCCAUCUCCAGAGAUAUUUGUCUCCCUUUUUAAAAUGUAAAUGCUGUAAUAAAGACAUAAAGCAGGAGUAUAGAUAGUAAAAGUUCAGAUCUGUCUCGAAUAUGUGUCCUCUCUGAAGUAAUCGUACAUCCUUCAGAUGUUAUGGUCGUAUGUAUUCCCUAUACAACACUUUGCUUUGGGCAGUUUUCCUAAUGUCCUUUGUCACUCCAUUUGGUUUGAAAGAAAUACAGUAGGAGUUUGUGCAAAGGAGCCUUGGUCGGGAGAACUGGUGCCAUCUUUGUGAGGAUUUUCAUUUUCAGUAUCUUGCAAGUGAUAACAUUUAACAGCUUUAAGGUAUAUUGUGCAUGUAUUUUAUGGGCCUAUAAAUGUUCAUGUGUUUGUUUUUAACCUGGCUUGGUGUGAAGGUAUGUGGUUGCAAACAUGAAGUGCAGCUACAUAGCCAGUGUUUGUACAUCAAGCCAGCUGGGGUACAUUAAGAAGCAUGUCUUGGGUUUUCAAUUGCUUUCAGCACUGGAAAAGCAAGGGAGAAAUGAUUUAACUGCAGACCAACCUGUCUUUUAUGUGUAGUGAAUCUUUUAGUAACAUCCAAAGUGACACUUCUCAGUAUUUACAAGUUGUGAAGGUUUGAUUUGGCCCAGGUAUGUACUGAAAAAUCUGGCUAAUUUACUCAUGUUAUUAAUAAACUCAUAAACUUAUUCAUUAUAGAUCUAUGUUUUAAUUUCCUUGUUCACCUUGAGGAUGCAAGUUAUUUUUAGGAUUUUGAUGAAGAGUAUGAAUUGUAAAAAUCCUCUGCGUUUUCAAAAAUGAUGAUAUGAGGUUUAGAUUGAUCCUUUUCUGUAUUCCUUUUCGAGGAUUUUUUUGUUGUUGUUAUUUUUUUUCUUUUGUCCUUGCCUUCUGUCCCAUUGACUUCCUAGUGCUUCUUCCACAUCCUGAAUAGGGAGUCCUUACAGAGAUUGUCUCUAGUUGUCUACCACCUCUGCUACGCCAUCAAGUCUUGUGAGUAGUGGUGCAUCCACUGCAGGGAGGCCUUCGUGCACAUGUGCCUGUUGUGCUUCCUGCCAAGCUCAGUUGUGUUUCUACUUGCAUCAUUUUGAAGGUGGUGUAAAAUUUGAAGGUGGAGGUCAACCCAUUUUUUUUCCUAGCAAGCCUAUAACUAAAGAUGAGGUUACUGAGCUGUGAAAGAUAAUAUGCUUAGAAAACACAGGCUGCUUUCCUGCUUGUAGAACAUUUGUGGCAGAUUGGAAGUUGUCUUCCCUUCACUUUCACCCUUGUUUUUUGGUUUUGGCUAACACUUUGUACACAUACUAUUUGGCUUUGUCUCUUGGCAGUGAAAAAGGUGCUUUGUGUGCCUUGAGUACUCGGAACUGAGACUGUGACCAACCAUGUGUGCUCUGUCUCUCAUGCCUUGCUGGAUGGGCCUAAUGCUGCAAUGAGAGGCUGGAGGAGCCCCAUGGGGUUUUGAAUUCCUAUGGCAGAGGUCUUAAGGAAAGGUAGCCAAUCAUGCACGAUACUGAGAUUUUUUUUCAUUUAUUUUUUUAAAGGAAAAUUAAACAUUUUCCUUUCUGGGCCACACAGAUAUUGUCUGAAACACUGCUUCUAAAAAAAAAAAUGGAACAACUGUAAAAUUUAUUGGCUCGAUAUAGGGCUCAGGCAUAACUUUCCUUCAUCACAUUCCUACAGAAUAAGUAUAUAUGUCUGUCUGCUCCCAGCGUUAAGUGUAGAGGCUCCUGUCAGGCCUCACCUGUCUUGUUUAAUUGACUCAGAGCCAGGUUCUAUUGAAAGUUUUGCUGAUGCUAUUUCCCUGAGAAACAACUCGCAAUUGCAUAAAACAUUAGUGAUGUGUCAAUGUGCCAAUGUCGCCAUACUUGCUGGCAACAGGCAUCUAUGCAUGAAUGUCUAGAUAGCAGUCAGAUUAUUGUCAAGAUUAUUUAGCAGCUUCUCUGUACAAGUCCUACAAGGAGAACUGGAAAUAUUGUAAUUAUGUUGUGAUGGAUUUUAUGCUGGUUUAUGCACAGCAUGCGGGUGUCAUCUUGCCCAUCAGUCUUCUGUUGUACCGAAGUCUUACUGCUGUUGGCUUUCCUGGCUUGGUGGUGGUGUUAUGUCAUUGUUCCCUGGCUUUCAGCUAAACUCAGUAUAAAGAUGUGCCUGUAAUAUAAAUUUUGUACAUGGGAAAUGGUUUGAUGCGCUUCUGUUUUGUGGUACCCUGUUUGACUUGUCCUGUCUAAAGAGUGCAUUUUUUGCUGCCCCACUUUACCUCUUUAAGGCUGGUGCUGACAUCAUGCCUCAGCUGUUAACUGAAAUGACAUAGAAUUGCUGCUUAUUAGAGAUAAAUUACUGUAGUUACUUGGCUGGAGCAAUCCGUGUUUCAUUUGUUAAGAUGACUUUGAAAGUGUGAGUUGGAAAAGCCCACUAGAAAGCUCUGCAGCUGGAUUAAUUCCUAGUGGAAUUCCACAGAUUUCCAUGAUGUUCUGCCAUUGACUAGCUGCACUUUUGGCUGCAAUGUAUCUAUCGUGGGGGCACGCCCUAUGUCUUUGCGAAGUAAAUGCAUAGAAAUCAGGAGGGAAGAUUAAUUAAUUAAAGAGCAACAGACAGUGCACAUUCAGUAUUUAUCUUUCAUUUUUUUCCAAGGAACUGUUUGGGUUCAAAAUGCUUAGUAUCACUGAAGGGGUAACAAGUAAGAUCAGCAAACCAAAGAACUUAAGGUAUAUUUCUCUUUUUCUUUUUUGUUUAAAAUUGCAGAGGUGACAACUAAACCUUGGUAUUACUGCUUAUUGCUGGUUCAGUAAACCAUGAAACAGAGUCCUCAACUCUCAUUAGAGUUUAUGAUGCACUGCUCUAGGCAGAGCUGGGUCCUAGGGCUGUGUGUUUUAACAGGAAAAGUACUUGAAAAAAGCAAAACCGAAGCCACAGUAAGCUGGCUGUAUUGUAUCUUCAUAUUAUUUUCUAUUACAUUUUUAUGACUAGCUGUGUAGCUUAAUAUAUCAUGAUUUUGUAUUUUAAAGCGUUCCAGAAAACAUGUGGAGUUUGCAGUCUGGCUGAGUGAAUGUUGCUGUUGGAGCUUUACCUUAGACCUAGUUGGAUAUUUCAUUAUUUUUAACAGCAUUACUUUAGCUUUCUAAUUCAGGACCUGAGAGAUGCAGAGAAAGAGUAUGAACAGCGUGCUGAAGUGCUCAUAAAACAUACUUGGACGCAAAUAAGGUCACACAGUGUAUUGUUGAAAUACUGCAUGUAGAUGAAGGUCGGCAGGGGUGGCACGAGGGUGGGACAUGAGAAAAGCACAAAAUGAGAGAGACGGGAGCAGGGUGGGAGAUGUCAAGGAGGCGGAGGCAGGUCAUUUCCAAUGUUACUGGUUGCUGGCCCAGAUCAGCUCCUUGCCUGGGAAGGUAUUACCUAUCUUCCUAGCAGAAACUUGCACGGAGAGCUGCACUGCUACUGCUGGCUUCCAUGCCAGGUCUGAUGCAGUAGAAAUGCUCCCGCACUUGGACGGAGCAUCAUCCUCCCUGGCUGAUGCCUGACCAGCUACUAGUCCAGGCCCUCUAUGUAUUGCCACUGCAUUUUCCAUCUUCUGUAUAGCCUUGGCCACCUGAGCUGGGCCUAAUCCGUUUCUUGGUGAUGUUUGUCAGUUGUUUCCUGUUACUAAAAGACAAUAAAGGUUCUGGCUGGAAGGUGUGGCUUUGGCAAUGGUUUUCUGCUCUCAGAGAUUUCAGUGGGAGAUGAAGGUGGCUGACAGCCAGGGCACUGCCACAAGUUUCAUCAGUCAGGCCACAGAUUUGUGGAAGGGGCUGCAGGAGAGGACAAUACAUGAUGUGGGCAUUUUUGUGAUUACAUUAACACGAUGAAGCUGAAUGUCUUUGAUGAUAAAAGUAGCUGAAAGAUAAGGGAAGCUACUGAACGAUGCCCCUCGAACCCAUUUCCCAGUGUUUAAAUGCAGGGAAGUAGUGAGUAUAAGUCUGAGCUUUUCUUGGAUCUAAGCACUUUUACAAACUGUUUUGUAGAUGUAAAAUCUCUCCCAUUUUAGAGCGUUCUGUCCUUCUGGAUUGGGUCUCAUUAUCAUUCCUAGGGUAUCUUACUUAUCAUUAAACAGUAGGAAAGGUCAAUGCACUUUUUAGCUGCCCUCUGUAUCUGCAGAAAAGGCUAUUUCCUCAGUGAUGACAAUGUGAAUAAAAAUAUUCUUUUCUCACAAAUAUGCAUUGCAAGAAUAAAAGAAAAUCUGCCUUUGCACGUAUAUGCACAAGUGCACAAGAGGACAAAAUAGCCUAUGUUGGCACAAUCUGAGAGCACAUCAGCUUCCGACAUGCAAGGAAAGCUCACUGAUCUUUUCUAACAUGCAGUGCUGAUAAACUUGGCCUGCUAGGAUGGAAUCCCAUCCUGACUGAGGUCUCUGGGAAAUCUGCCAGGGACAGGACUGGGAUUUCAACUCUAAUCUGUAUAUGAAUAAUAUCUCAGUAUCUUCUGAUCUUUG
rnacentral:lncRNA from 1 species